rfam:Dipodomys ordii contig_10905, whole genome shotgun sequence.
GGGAAUGUGACUCAGUGGUAGAGAGCUUGUCUUGAAUGCAUGAGGCCCUGGGUUCGAUUCCUCAGCACCA